rnacentral:rRNA from 1 species
GGCUCAGGAUAAACGCUGGCGGCGUGCUUAACACAUGCAAGUCGAACGGAGUACUUCUCCCGAGACCGAGGAAGCUUGCUUCCAAAGAAUCAUUGAAGUACUUAGUGGCGGACGGGUGAGUAACGCGUGGGUAACCCGCCUCACACAGGGGGAUAACAGUUGGAAACGACUGUUAAUACCGCAUAAGCGCACAGUACCGCAUGGUACAGUGUGAAAAACUCCGGUGGUGUGAGAUGGACCCGCGUCUGAUUAGCUAGUUGGUGAGGUAACGGCCCACCAAGGCGACGAUCAGUAGCCGGCCUGAGAGGGUGUACGGCCACAUUGGGACUGAGACACGGCCCAAACUCCUACGGGAGGCAGCAGUGGGGAAUAUUGCACAAUGGGGGAAACCCUGAUGCAGCGACGCCCGCGUGAGUGAUGAAGUAUCUCGGUAUGUAAAGCUCUAUCAGCAGGGAAGAUAAUGACGGUACCUGACUAAGAAGCACCGGCUAAAUACGUGCCAGCCGCCGC